AGAGGAAGCCGGUGCGAAUCCGGCGCGGUCCCGCCACUGUCACCGGGCGAUCCGACGCGAUCCCCGGGAGCCAGGAACUC
rnacentral:ncRNA from 1 species